UGGGGAAUAUUGGACAAUGGGCGAAAGCCUGAUCCAGCAAUGCCGCGUGAGUGAUGAAGGCCCUAGGGUUGUAAAGCUCUUUUACCCGGGAUGAUAAUGACAGUACCGGGAGAAUAAGCCCCGGCUAACUCCGUGCCAGCAGCCGCGGUAAUACGGAGGGGGCUAGCGUUGUUCGGAAUUACUGGGCGUAAAGCGCGCGUAGGCGGCUUUGUAAGUCAGAGGUGAAAGCCCGGAGCUCAACUUCGGAAUUGCCUUUGAGACUGCAUCGCUUGAAUCCGGGAGAGGUGAGUGGAAUUCCGAGUGUAGAGGUGAAAUUCGUAGAUAUUCGGAAGAACACCAGUGGCGAAGGCGGCUCACUGGACCGGUAUUGACGCUGAGGUGCGAAAGCGUGGGGAGCAAACAGG
rnacentral:rRNA from 1 species